AUGUGUAAAGAAGAUCUUAACUCAGACUUGUUCCAUGCUGUUCUUAGUGAUCUUGGAUAUUUUGGAACCAUCACAAGAGCUAUAAUUGCUCUUCAACCAGCUCCACAAAGAGUUCGUUGGGUACAAGUGUUUUACUCAAAUUUUUCAACCUUUAGUAAGGACCAAGAGUUUCUGAUCUCUCUGCAUGGGAAACCAGUGAGCCAGAGAUUCGAUUAUGUUAGAGGUUUUGUGAUAGCGGAUGAAGGACUUUUUAAUAAUUGA